AUUCCUGUUUUCGUCAGCAUUUCCAACUCCACUUCUUGUUCUCACCAUUUUGAUCUACACCGAAUAAGGUGAAAUUAGAUCCUCAAUCAUGAUGGAUAUUCAAAUCAUCCUUAUCACUCCGAAACGUUUACAUGCUAGUUCUAAUAUCGUAGAUGUACGCUUAGAAUCCUACACACAUAAGGUUUCUAGAUCCGGUCGGCAACAGACCAUAGAUCCGAACAAAUAAUAUCAUAUAUGGCAACAUAUAACAUUUAGCACAUAAAGCAUUUUAGGCAACUUUCCUAAAAUAAACUAGUGCUCGUGUCUAAAUCACAACAGACACACAUCUCAAAACUUCACUUAGCAUUCUAAGUUUAAGUCUAGAAAUCCUACAAAUUCCUAGUUCGCUUAAACUAAUGCUCUGAUACCAACUGUGACAUCCCCAAAAUCUCGGCCAGAAAAGACCGAUUUUCAUUUAUGCUUUUAAAUAUUUUCAGAGUAAAUCCUUUUGAUUUGAAAGAGUUGCGGAAUUUGUUCCCAAAAACAAAACAUGAUAAAACAUUGUUUACCGAAGCAUUUCAUAAAAGAAAUGUAUUUUCAUUAUAAUCAAAACUCGGGGUGUCAUGUUCCGAUACAGACCAAUAAGCAUAAACGAAUACAUUACAAGUCAUAUAACAAAUAUAAACAUAUGCAGACUUGUAAACAAAACAACUUGAUGGUUCAUCCAUCUCAUGCCCUUCCGCCACUACCUGUAAUACAAUUUAAAACUGAGUGGGUCAGGCUUGGGAGCCUGGUGAGCAUAUAGGGUUUUCAACCCACAAUAAAUAUCAUAUUUAAUUUUCACCAACCAACAAUAACCCAAUUACCCAUUCCCGUUAUUCUCACUUUAAUGUCCCUAAAACAACUAACAUAAGGGACCUAGUCUAAGAAUAUUUCAUCGGGGCGACAACACAUGCUUCGGGGGUACCUCAGCAAUAUAAGUCAAAUAAGGCAACCAUGAGGGGGAUGGAGUACAGCGAAUGAACACCCAAGUUCAUUAACACCUACAGGUGGCGAACCUGCUAAUGUUUCCACAAGACUGUCUAGAAUAGCCAGUGGUCGUCAUCUAAACUCCGCUAGAUGACUCAAUCAAACAACAACGAGGCCUCUCAUCUGUUUAUUACACACCAACUGUCUACCCAUGUUCUACCCAACAUAUUAGUAGAUAAAAAUAUACAUUUGUAUACAUAGUUUAAAGAAAACCUGUAUAGCAUGCUUUAAUCAACACAUAUAUCACAUAACAGAUGAGGCACACACACACAUAACACAUAUCUCAUAAAGAAAUAAGCAGAUCUAUAAGAUAGAAGAGAGUGAAUACUCAUUCACACAUAACACAACCAAAUAUAUACACAUAGCACGUAUUUUUAUAUAAAAUACUUCGUAUUAUUGUAUUAGAAGAAAUAACUACACACUCACUUGAUCAGAAGAUGAUCGGACAGCACUACGGCUUAUAGAAGUAGUAAUCCACAGCAGAUCUGGAAGAUCUUCUCGAAAAUCGAACUUCUCGCGGGCAGAGCUUCGACUCGGGAACCGCACUUUUCGGGAUCUUCGGGAUCUCGGGACUUGCCUCGGGGCUAGAGUAUGAUACCGGGACUUCGGGGUAGCUUCGGGGGUUUUUGCACAGAGCUUCGACACGAAAACGAGAGGGAAUUGGCAAAAAUACCCGGAACCCUCGCAUCCUAUUUAUAGGAGGCUGGAGCCUCGGAGUACGCGGGGCGUACUGCGUUACGCGGGGCGUACUGCCCAAAACGUCAUUGCUUACGUAUCCGAAGUGCUCGAGUGCGAGUGUCGACAUCCCUCGGAGUACGCGGGGCGUACUCGAGUACGCGGGGCGUACCUCGGAUCAGAUCGGUGACUCCUUCGGAUAAUGCUUCCGAAUUUUGAUUUAAAUAUAAAUACAAAAUGAUUAAUAAACUUCGGAAAUUCAUAACUUCUUCAUACGAACUCCGUUUUCGACGUUCUUUAUAUCCACGCGAAGGUGAGACCACGCUCUACGACUUUCGUUUAGACUCCGUCGGCUAAUUUUGACUUUAUUUUUAUUAAUUAUUUUUAAUAGGCCGGGACAGAAACUUUCGUUAUAAAUUCAUAACUUCUUCGUUUGACGUCCGUUCUCGCCUAACUUUUUAUCGUUUCAAUACCAACAAUGAGAUCUUCGAUUCUCAUUUAGAUUGCUUCGGCUAACAACCGCUCGAUCUCAAAUCGAGUAAAACAGGCUGUAUAUCGCUAAGCCGGAACUUCGAUAAAUCAUAACUUCCUCAUACGAAGUCAGAUUUGGGCGUUCUAUAUAUAUUCGGAAACCUCGUUUCAACUACUACAACAUUAACCAAAUAUAUUAAGUUUAUUUUACACUUAAAUUUUGACGCUUAUUUUUAUUCUUAAUUAAUCAAACCACAUAAUUAAGCAAUUAAGCACAAAACACACAAUACUCAAAUAAUACAAUCUUAUUAUUUCAAAACGGGUUACAGAGGUUAACCUAGACUAUUACAUUGCUACAAAUGGCAAGCCCGAAACACAGGCGUUACAAUUCUCUCCACCUUAGAAUGAUUCCGUCCCCGGAAUCACACAUCAACAAACAAAUGCGGAUAGCGACUCAACAUGUCACUCUCCGUCUCCCAGGUGAGAUUCGGCCCAUUCGUGUGUUUCCAUCGGACAAGCACUAACCCAACCAUUUUGCGUCGCAACUUCUUAGUCUUUCGGUCAACAAUUGCCUCUGGUUCUUCAAUCAACCUUUUGUUCUCAUCAAUUCUCAAUUCAGAAAUUGGAAUUAUAUCGGGAACUUCUCCCGUGAACUUCCUCAAAUAACACACAUGAAAGGUGUUGUGAAUUCCAUUCAGUUCUUCGGGUAAUUCGAGCUUGUAAGCUUGAUUCCCAAUCCUCUGAAGGACUCUAAACGGUCCAAUAAACCUUGGACUCAACUUUCCCCUUUUACCAAAUCUUAUAAGUCCCUUCCACGGCGAGACUUUAAGCAAAACCGAAUCUCCAACCUCAAAAGUCAUCGGUCUUCGCUUCUUGUCAGCAUAGCUCUUUUGACGAUCUUGAGCUGCUAACAUUCUUUCCCUAAUUAUUUUCAACUUUUCAGCAGUUUGAUGAACCAACUCCGGUCCCAUAAACUGCUUUUCCCCAGCCUCAAGCCAACAAGACGGCGUACGACACUUCUGUCCAUACAAAGCUUGAUAAGGUGCCAUCUUAAUGCUCGAGUGAAAACUAUUAUUAUAGGAAAAUUCUACCAACGGUAAAUGUUCAUCCCAAUUACCUAGGAAUUCCAAGGUACAUGCUCUCAGCAUAUCUUCAAGUGUUUGUAUUGUUCUUUCACUCUGACCAUCAGUCUGCGGAUGGUAAGCUGUGCUUAAACAUAACUUGGUACCCAUUUCCUCUUGUAGACUUUUCCAAAACCUUGAGGUGAAACGGCUAUCACGAUCCGAUACAAUCGUUAACGGAACACCGUGAAGCCUCACAAUUUCCUUCACGUAAGAAUUCGCAAGCUUUUCCAUAGACCAUUUCUCCCUGGCCGCUAUGAAAUGCGCACUCUUAGUGAAUCGAUCAACGACCACCCAAAUCAUGUCGUGACCAUUCUUUGUUCUGGGCAGUUUAGUGACAAAAUCCAUAGCAAUGUCUUCCCACUUACCCAUAGGCACAGGCAAAGGUUCUAAACUCCCGUACGGUUUCUGAUGUUGUGUCUUGACUCUCGCACAAGUCACACACUCGGCCACAUACUUUGCAACAUCAAGCUUCAUCGUCGGCCACCAGUAGUAGGGUUUCAGGUCCCUAUACAUUUUAGUGCUACCCGGAUGAAUCGAGUACAUGGUCUUGUGAGCUUCUUCCAUCAGAAGAUCUCUAAUUCCUCCUGACUUAGGUACCCAAAUACGAUCUUGGAAUACCUUCAGUCCAUGACCGUUAGUACCAAACACCAACGUUUUACCCAAACGUUCCUCCUUUCGGUCAUUUUUCUCAGAAGCUUCCUCUUGAGCUUUCUUUAUACUUUCCACAAUGGUCGAGACAACUUCAAUUCUCAACGCUCUUGGCCUCUUCCUUUCAAGAUUGACCUUCCGACUGAGAGCAUCAGCAACAACAUUAGCUUUACCGGGGUGGUAAAGUAUCUCGCAGUCGUAGUCUUUAAGUAAUUCUAGCCAGCGUCGUUGCCUCAUAUUCAAUUCUUUCUGAUUAAAGAGGUAUUGGAGACUCUUAUGAUCAGUGAAAAGUUUGCACUUCGUGCCAUAGAGGUAAUGCCUCCAUAUUUUCAGAGCGAAAACUACCGCUGCCAACUCCAAAUCAUGAGUCGGGUAAUUCUUUUCAUGCUCUUUCAGCUGUCGAGACGCAUAUGCUAUCACCUUUUCUCUUUGGGUCAAAACACAACCCAAUCCAACACCAGACGCAUCGCUAUAAACAGCGAAGUCUUCAACUCCAUCGGGUAGAGAAAGUAUCGGUGCCUCGCAUAGCUUCUUCUUUAACUUCUCGAAUGCUUCUUUAUGCUUCUCACUCCAAGCAUAAGUAGCUCCUUUGUGGGUCAAAGCUGUUAAUGGAGUAGCAAUCGAAGAAAAGCCUUGGAUAAACCUUCGGUAAUAUCCGGCUAAUCCUAAAAAGCUUCGAAUCUCCGUGGGACUUUUCGGUUGUUCCCACUUCGUCACAGCUUCGAUCUUCGCUGGAUCAACCAUUAUCCCUUCUUGGUUGACCACGUGACCCAAGAAUUGGACUUCACGAAUCCAAAAAUCACAUUUGGAGAACUUCGCAUAAAGCUUCUCCUUCUUCAAAACUUCUAACACUUCUCGCAAGUGUCUGCCAUGCUCCUCCUGGCUUUUCGAGUAGAUCAGAAUGUCGUCUAUGAACACUAUCACGGAUUUAUCAAGGAAAGGAUUACAAACCCUAUUCAUCAAAUCCAUGAACGCUGCUGGAGCAUUGGUUAGUCCAAACGACAUAACCAAGAACUCGUAGUGUCCAUAUCUAGUUCUGAAUGCAGUCUUCUCGAUAUCUUGCUCUCUUACUUUCAGCUGAUGAUAUCCUGACCUAAGAUCGAUCUUCGAGAAAUAGCUCGAACCUUGCAAUUGAUCAAACAGGUCAUCAAUCCUCGGCAACGGAUAUCUAUUCUUUAUUGUUGCCUUGUUCAGCUCUCUGUAAUCGAUGCACAUUCUCAUACUUCCAUCUUUCUUCUUUACAAAUAACACCGGAGCUCCCCAGGGCGAUGAACUAGGUCUAAUGAAACCUUUGUCCAAUAACUCCUGAAGUUGCAUCAUUAGCUCCUUCAUCUCCGUCGGUGCUAAUCGAUAAGGUGCUUUUGCUAUUGGCGUGGUUCCUGGUAACAAGUCUAUUCUGAACUCCACUUGUCUAUCAGGUGGUAAUCCAGGAAGAUCCUCGGGAAAUACUUCCGGAUAAUCACACACCACUGGAAUGCUCUGCAUCACCUUCUUUUCUUUCUUAGCAUCAAUCACGAAUGCUAAAUAUGAUGUACAUCCCUUGGUCAAACACUUUCUGGCUUUCAUUAGAGAAAUGAUUCCAGAAUUCACUCUGCGUUUGUCCCCAUACACCAUAAACGAAUCUUUUCCAGGCGGGUUUACUUUAACUAUCUUCUUCUUGCACAAAAUUUCGGCAUCAUUGGCGCUAAGCCAAUCCAUUCCCAAGACGAUGUCGAAACCAUUUAGUUCGAUAGGCAAUAAUUCCUCGAGAAACUUAUUCCCAUUAAGGUCGAUCAAGACGUUUUUCAUACGAUGGCUAACAGGUACAAACUUGCCACUAGCUACUUCGACUAAUAAAGCAUUAUUUAGUCUAUCAACAGGCAAAGCUAGCUUUCUACCAAACUCAUGCGAAAUAAAGGAGUAGUUGGCUCCAGAAUCAAACAAUAUAUGAGCAGGUAAUUCGUUUACGAGAAAGGUACCUGAAGCGACAUCAGCUUCAUCUUUCGCAGCCUCAAGUGUCAUCUGGAAGGCUCUCGCCUUCGGCUUUGGUGGAAUGUUGGGCCUAGCUGCCUCCUUCUUCUUCGGACAGUCUUUCAAAAUAUGCCCCUCUUCAUUACAACCAAAACACAUCCUUUUGUUGUUCGGACAUUCAUUGGCAAAAUGUCCAACCUUUCCACACUUGUAGCAGGUCACAUCCUCGCUACAUUUCCCAAAGUGCUUUUUCUUACACUUAUCACACCACUUUGCUUCGCCUCCUUUUCCUCCAAACUUUUUCGAAUCAGAUUUCGAAAAUUUGCUCUUCUUACUGGAACCAGAUGUUCCUUCAAACUUCCUUUUCUCACCAACCUCAACCUUGACGGUGGUUCUCCCCUUGAUCAUGUUCUCCACAGACUUGGCAGCCCAGAUAGCUGCCUCUAGAGUAAGUGCCUGACGUACCGGCACCUCGUACUCCCAUGGAAGUCCCUUCGCAUACCGAUCCACCUUUGUCAGCUCGUCUGGAACGAUACGCAAGGCAAACUCCAUCUUAUCGGUGAAGUUAUUGGUGUAUUCAUCAACUGACAUGCUACCCUUCGUCAAUGUCAAAAACUUAUUCUCCAACUCCAACAGAUUUUGAGCCGAGCAGAACUUGCGCUUGAACUGCACCAAGAACUCUGCCCAUGACAAUUGCAGUGGCUCAUUAGGGCUUAAGGUCUUCCCUAGAGUGUUCCACCAACGAACGGCUCCACCUCGGAAUUGUCGCACGGCAUAGAUAGUCUGCAACUUACCUCUGCAGCCACAUGUCAUAAAGGCUAACUCCAUUUCGGAGAUCCAAUCCAUAACCCCAAUCGGAUCCUCCUUUCCAUUGAAGGUCGAUGGUUUGCAAGUCAAAAAGUCCUUGUACUUGCAUCCCAUUCCAUCAUUCCUUCCUUCAUGGUUAUCUUGCCUAACUAUCGGUGGGUUGGCUGGACCAACAGACCCACUGAAGUUUCCACCUUCCGAGUGCCCUUCAUUUAAUUCAGGCUCUUCCACACGAAUCGACAGUUCUUCACGAUUUUGUUGAAGCAACCGUCUAGUUUCAUCCAUCUGACGAUCCAACAUCGUCUGAAUCAUCAAUUGCACACCAGCCAUGGUUAUUGGCUCAGGUGCUGCUGCUACGACAGGUAUUGGCUCAAUCACUGGUGGUUGAUUCCUGUUUUCGUCAGCAUUUCCAACUCCACUUCUUGUUCUCACCAUUUUGAUCUACACCCCGAAUAAGGUGAAAUUAGAUCCUCAAUCAUGAUAGAUAUUCAAAUCAUCCUUAUCACUCCGAAACGUUUACAUGCUAGUUCUAAUAUCGUAGACGUACGCUUAGAAUCCUACACACAUAAGGUUUCUAGAUCCGGUCGGCAACAGACCAUAGAUCCGAACAAAUAAUAUCAUAUAUGGCAACAUAUAACAUUUAGCACAUAAAGCAUUUUAGGCAACUUUCCUAAAAUAAACUAGUGCUCGUGUCUAAAACACAACAGACACACAUCUCAAAACUUCACUUAGCAUUCUAAGUUUAAGUCUAGAAAUCCUACAAAUUCCUAGUUCGCUUAAACUAAUGCUCUGAUACCAACUGUGACAUCCCCAAAAUCUCGGCCAGAAAAGACCGAUUUUCAUUUAUGCUUUUAAAUAUUUUCAGAGUAAAUCCUUUUGAUUUGAAAGAGUUGCGGAAUUUGUUCCCAAAAACAAAACAUGAUAAAACAUUGUUU
rnacentral:lncRNA from 1 species